AUGGGCUUGCUGCCAUUACUGGAUGAGGUUCUCUGGUCUGCGUUACACAGGAUGUCAGAUUAGAGGAUCAUAAUGCUCUCUCUACAGCUCAAAAUCUAUGAAAUGCAGUGCCAUUGUGGACUAGCUCAAGGAGGAACAUUCAUGUAUAAUAAGAAAAUUGAAGCUGUUUGAUCUACUGUGGUACCUCACCCGAAAUCUGUUCGGAAAGAGAACAUUUUAGUAAUGAAAUGGUAUACAAUGAGAAAGGAAAUUUGCAUAAGGAAUGUCUCUACGCAAAAGAAUUAAUGGACACAAAUCUGACAUCAGGAAUCCUAAUACUCAAAAACCAGUGGGAGAACACUUUAACCUGUCUGGUCAUUCAAUGACAGACCUGCGGGUGGCUAUAUUACAACAGAAAAACUUCAAAAACAGACUCCAAGGAGAGACUGCUGAGCUGGAAUUGAUAUGCAAACUAGACACAAUCAACAAAGGAUUGAAUAAGGACUGGGAAUGGCUGAGCCAUUACAAACAUUGAAUCUAUCUCCCCUUGUAAGUAUUCUCACACUUCUUAUCAAACUGUCUGUACUGGGCUAUCUUGAUUAUCACUUCAAAAGUUUUUUUUCUCUUACUUAAUUGGUCUCUCAGAAUUGGUAAGACAACUCCCACCUGUUUAUGCUCUCUGUAUGUGUGUAUAUAUAUAUAUAUCUCCUCAAUAUUUAUUCCACUCUGUAUGCAUCCGAAGAAGUGGGCUGUAGUCCACGAAAGCUUAUGCUCUAAUAAAUUUGUUAGUCUCUAAGGUG